AUGGCUCAGAUUGAACGCUGGCGGCAGGCUUAACACAUGCAAGUCGAA
rnacentral:rRNA from 1 species